CACUGGUGGCGACCGGCGCACGGGUGAGUAACACGUGUGCAACCAACCCCGUACCGGGAGAUAACCCGCGGAAACGUGGACUAACAUCCCAUGAGACUCUAGAUCCGCAUGGCUCUAGAUUUAAAAUUCCGGUGGUACGGGACGGGCACGCGCGACAUUAGGUAGUUGGCGGGGUAAGGGCCCACCAAGCCGACGAUGUCUAGGGGUUCUGAGAGGAAGGUCCCCCACAUUGGAACUGAGACACGGUCCAA
rnacentral:rRNA from 1 species